rnacentral:misc_RNA from 1 species
GGAUGAAGAACGUAGCGAAAUGCGAUAAGUAGUGUGAAUUGCAGAAUUCCGUGAAUCAUCGAAUCUUUGAACGCACAUUGCGCCUUCUGGUAUUCCGGAAGGCAUGCCUGUUCGAGAGUCAUUAACAACCGUUUCGAUCCCUUUCUUUCAGAAAUUACAAAGAGGAAAAGGGUUUGGUUAUGGUGGAGGAGGGAAAGGGAGCGUUUAGCCUGUAAAAAAAGAGGCUGUGUUCCGCCUCCCCCCCAAAAUGGUACAGGCGGUCGUGUGCGCCCACGCAUCGAGGUGUUGUAAAAGCUGCCACGGCACUUUUCACCUGUGCAGUGCGAGAUUGGCCAGCCGGUUUAAAAACCCCUCCAAACAAUCAAAGGUUGACCUCGGAUCAGGUAGGGAUACCCGCUGAACUUAAGCAUAUCAAUAAGCGGAGGA